AGCGGGAUAGUCGGGCGGGAGGGGGAGAGUGAGGGGGGUUGGGGGUGGGGCGCGGGCGCAGCUCCGUUUCCGGUGGCUCGUCGCGCUCGCUCACUCCAGCUGCAGCCACUCUCGUCCGUGGCUGCUUCCUCCAUCCUGGUAUUUUUUGGAGCCUCCAUCCUGGUUCUUCCAAAGUGCCCGGACCCAAAACAGGAAACUGUUGCAGAGAUAGGAACAUGGGGGAGAAACAGUCUGGAUAACAUGAAAGUGAUGCCGGUGGCCAAGGGGAGGCGACUUGAUUCUCUGGGAAGGGCUAUAGCUGAUCCAUCCGUUGUCUAGAUUUGAGUAUGAGCACAGUUGAAGAGGAUUCUGACACAGUAACAGUAGAAACUGUGAACUCUGUGACUUUGACUCAGGACACGGAAGGGAACCUCAUUCUUCAUUGCCCUCAGAAUG